GCCAGGCAUGGUGGCGUAUACCUGUAAUCCCAGGAGCUUGGGAGGCAGAAGCAGGAGGAUCGCAAGUUCAAAGCCAGCCUCAGCAACUUAAUGAGAUUCUAAGCGACUUAGUGAGACUCUGUCUCAA
rnacentral:sRNA from 1 species